rnacentral:rRNA from 1 species
AAUGAACGUUGGCGGCGUGGAUUAGGCAUGCAAGUCGAGCGAGAACCCAGCAAUGGGGGACAGCGGCGCAAGGGACAGUAAUGUGUAGAUCAUCUGCCCUCAGGUCCGGGAUAGCUGCGGGAAACUGCAGGUAAUACCGGAUAACAUCUCCGGAUCAAAGGUGUGAUUCCGCCUGAGGAUGAGUCUACAUCCUAUUAGCUAGUUGGUAGGGUAACGGCCUACCAAGGCGAUGAUGGGUAGCGGGUGUGAGAGCACGAUCCGCGUCAUUGGGCCUGAGACACUGCCCAGACACCUACGGGUGGCUGCAGUCGAGAAUCUUCGGCAAUGGGCGCAAGCCUGACCGAGCGACGCCGCGUGUGGGAUGAAGGCCUUCGGGUUGUAAACCACUGUCAGAGGGGAUGAAAUGCAGGUGGGUUCUCCCAUCUGUUUGACAUAGCCUCAGAGGAAGGACGGGCUAAGUUCGUGCCAGCAGCCGCCGUAAUAC